UCAACUUGAGAGUUUGAUCCUGGCUCAGAACGAACGCUGGCGGCAGGCUUAACACAUGCAAGUCGAGCGCCCCUCCUUCAAGCAAGCUUGAAGGUCCUUUGGCCGAAGGCCAGGAAAGAGGAUCAAGAAAGCCGAGCUUUCUUGAUGGAGGGGAGCGGCAGACGGGUGAGUAACGCGUGGGAAUCUACCUAGCUCUACGGAAUAACCCAGGGAAACUUGGACUAAUACCGUAUACGUCCGAGAGGAGAAAGAUUUAUCGGAGUUAGAUGAGCCCGCGUUGGAUUAGCUAGUUGGUGGGGUAAAGGCCUACCAAGGCGACGAUCCAUAGCUGGUCUGAGAGGAUGAUCAGCCACACUGGGACUGAGACACGGCCCAGACUCCUACGGGAGGCAGCAGUGGGGAAUAUUGGACAAUGGGCGCAAGCCUGAUCCAGCCAUGCCGCGUGAGUGAUGACGGCCUUAGGGUUGUAAAGCUCUUUCAACGGUGAAGAUAAUGACGGUAACCGUAGAAGAAGCCCCGGCUAACUUCGUGCCAGCAGCCGCGGUAAUACGAAGGGGGCUAGCGUUGUUCGGAAUUACUGGGCGUAAAGCGCACGUAGGCGGAUACUUAAGUCAGGGGUGAAAUCCCGGGGCUCAACCCCGGAACUGCCUUUGAUACUGGGUAUCUAGAGUAUGGUAGAGGUGAGUGGAAUUCCGAGUGUAGAGGUGAAAUUCGUAGAUAUUCGGAGGAACACCAGUGGCGAAGGCGGCUCACUGGACCAUUACUGACGCUGAGGUGCGAAAGCG
rnacentral:rRNA from 1 species